rnacentral:rRNA from 1 species
AGUCUGGUGCCAGCAGCCGCGGUAAUUCCAGCUCCAAUAGUGUAUAUUAAUGUUCCUGCAGUUAUUCGAUGCUCGUAGUUGGAUUUCUGGGGGCUGAGAUUGGAAGGUGGCCAAGGUCACCGCCGAACUCUUCCUUCAUCCACCUGUUAACGUUGUCCGGGAUUUGUUUCUCGGCUUCAGGCUCAGGUAUUUUACCCUUUCUAUAUAUUCAUUUAUUUAUCUUCUUCUUGAGUAAAUUAUAGUGUUUCAGGCAGGCGUGCGCCGGAAUACUUUAGCAUGGAAUAAUCGAAUUGGACCGUGUAUUCUUAUAGAAUUCUUCCUUAUUUGUUGGUUUCAAGGACACGGAAAUGGUUAAUAGGGAUAGUGUUUUCAGGGGAGGCAUUAGUAUUUAAUUUCCAGAGGUGAAAUUCUUUGAAAUAUUAAAGACUAACUUAUGCGAAAGCAUUUAUUUUGCCAAUAAUGUUUUCAUUAAUCAUUGAACGAAAGUUAGGGGAUCAAAGACGAUCAGAUACCGUCCUAGUCUUAACCAUAAACGUUGCCGACUAGGGAUCGGAGGGCGUGCACAUUCCGCCUUCGGCACCUUACGAGAAAUCGAAGUCUUUUGGGUUCUGGGGGUAGUAUGGUCGCAAGGCUGAAACUUAAAGGAAUUGACGGAAGGGCACCACCAGGAGUGGAGCUUGCGGCUCAAUUUGACUCAACACGGGAAAUCUUACCAGGUCCAGACAUAGUGAGGAUUGACAGAUUGAUAGCUCUUUCUUGAUUCUAUGGGUAUUUAUUUUAAUUUUGGUGGUGCAUGGCCGUUCUUAGUUGGUGGAGUGAUUUGUCUGGUUAAUUCCGUUAAACGAACGAGACCUCAGCCUGCUAAAUAGUUACCUGUCUUUCUUUUACGAGACUUGAUAACUUCUUAGAGGGACGUUGUGUGCAACCACAAGGAAGUUGAGGCAAUAACAGGUCUGUGAUGCCCUUAGAUGUCCUGGGCCGCACGCGUGCUACACUGAUACGUACAACAAGGUAUAUGCAUUUAUGCAUCGAUGCUGCUCCGAAAUAGACACAGCUAAAUCUUCUAAAAUACGUAUCGUGCUGCGGACAGAUCGUUGAAAUUAUGGAUCUUGAAGGUGGAAUUCCUAGUAAGCGCGGGUCAUCAACCCGCGUUGAUUACGUCCCUGCCCUUUGUACACACCGCCCGUCGCUCCUACCAAUUUCGAGUGGCUCGGUGAACCUCUUUGGACUGUCGAGCAAUCGCGAAAUUAGAGUGAACCUGGUCAC